UGUAGCGGGAAAGCGUAUUAUGCACACCCCGCGCCGCUGAGAAAAAGCGAAGCGGCACUGCUCUUUAACAAUUUAUCAGACAAUCUGUGUGGGCACUCGAAGAUACGGAUUCUUAACGUCGCAAGACGAAAAAUGAAUACCAAGUCUCAAGAGUGAACACGUAAUUCAUUACGAAGUUUAAUUCUUUGAGCAUCAAAC
rnacentral:rRNA from 1 species